AAUAUAUCGGAACGUACCUUUGAGUGGGGGAUAACUAGUCGAAAGAUUAGCUAAUACCGCAUACGAUCUACGGAUGAAAGUGGGGGACCCGUAAGGGCCUCAUGCUCAUAGAGCGGCCGAUAUCUGAUUAGCUAGUUGGUGAGGUAAAGGCUCACCAAGGCUUCGAUCAGUAGCUGGUCUGAGAGGACGACCAGCCACACUGGGACUGAGACACGGCCCAGACUCCUACGGGAGGCAGCAGUGGGGAAUUUUGGACAAUGGGGGCAACCCUGAUCCAGCAAUGCCGCGUGAGUGAAGAAGGCCUUCGGGUUGUAAAGCUCUUUUGUCAGGGAAGAAACGGGAUGUCCUAAUACGGUGUCCUAAUGACGGUACCUGAAGAAUAAGCACCGGCUAACUACGUGCCAGCAGCCGCGGUAAUACGUAGGGUGCAAGCGUUAAUCGGAAUUACUGGGCGUAAAGCGUGCGCAGGCGGUUAUGUAAGACAGGUGUGAAAUCCCCGGGCUUA
rnacentral:rRNA from 1 species